CAUCGCCGCGGUAAUACGUAGGUCCCGAGCGUUGUCCGGAUUUAUUGGGCGUAAAGCGAGCGCAGGCGGUUAGAUAAGUCUGAAGUUAAAGGCUGUGGCUUAACCAUAGUAUGCUUUGGAAACUGUUUAACUUGAGUGCAGAAGGGGAGAGUGGAAUUCCAUGUGUAGCGGUGAAAUGCGUAGAUAUAUGGAGGAACACCGGUGGCGAAAGCGGCUCUCUGGUCUGUAACUGACGCUGAGGCUCGAAAGCGUGGGGAGCAAACAGGAUUAGAUACCCGGGUAGUCCCUGUCUCUUAUACAC
rnacentral:rRNA from 1 species